rnacentral:rRNA from 1 species
UGGGGAAUAUUGGACAAUGGGCGAAAGCCUGAUCCAGCCAUGCCGCGUGUGUGAAGAAGGUCUUCGGAUUGUAAAGCACUUUAAGUUGGGAGGAAGGGCAUUAACCUAAUACGUUAGUGUUUUGACGUUACCGACAGAAUAAGCACCGGCUAACUCUGUGCCAGCAGCCGCGGUAAUACAGAGGGUGCAAGCGUUAAUCGGAAUUACUGGGCGUAAAGCGCGCGUAGGUGGUUUGUUAAGUUGGAUGUGAAAUCCCCGGGCUCAACCUGGGAACUGCAUUCAAAACUGACUGACUAGAGUAUGGUAGAGGGUGGUGGAAUUUCCUGUGUAGCGGUGAAAUGCGUAGAUAUAGGAAGGAACACCAGUGGCGAAGGCGACCACCUGGACUAAUACUGACACUGAGGUGCGAAAGCGUGGGGAGUAAACA